UACGAAGGGGGCAAGCGUUGUUCGGAGUUACUGGGCGUAAAGGGCGCGUAGGCGGCGUGGCCAGUCAGAUGUGAAAGCCCUGGGCUCAACCCGGGAUGUGCAUUUGAUACUGCCAUGCUAGAAUCCGGGAGAGGUUGGUGGAAUUCCCAGUGUAGAGGUGAAAUUCGUAGAGAUUGGGAAGAACACCGGAGGCGAAGGCGGCCAACUGGCCUGGAAUUGACGCUGAGGCGCGAAAGCGUGGGGAGCAAACAGG
rnacentral:rRNA from 1 species